GACGUAGGGCGCGAGCGUUUGUCCGGAUUUAUUGGGCGUAAAGAGCUCGUAGGCGGCUUGUCGCGUCGUCCGUGAAAACCUGCAGCUCAACUGCAGGCUUGCGGUCGAUACGGGCAGGCUAGAGUUCGGUAGGGGAGACUGGAAUUCCUGGUGUAGCGGUGAAAUGCGCAGAUAUCAGGAGGAACACCGGUGGCGAAGGCGGGUCUCUGGGCCGAUACUGACGCUGGAGGAG
rnacentral:rRNA from 1 species